rnacentral:lncRNA from 1 species
UAAAAGACUAUCUGUUAUUGUAUAAUUUUGCAAUUGUACUCCCCUUAUCUUUUGCACUAACUGGAUUUUGUUUUGGCCAAGAACAAAGAGAAAUUUAUUUCAAACAAGUUCAGUAUAAGAACCAGACAAAGAAACUUUAAGUUGUAACCAUUCUGAGUAACACCAAAAACAAGUCACUGAACAUGGGGCGAGGGUAGACCGUCCUUAUUCAAGAUAUGAACACCAUAGAGGAUACAGGUAGAUUGACCCAAUCAUCAGAGCACAUCCCCUUACUGGACUGCUUAGCACCCCAAUCAGCUACUAAAUUAGUAGCCCGCUAAAUAAUACACAAUCAAGAAUCUUAUGAGAGCAAUCUUCCGACCUCCACAGCUAUUUGACAUCAUGUACAAAAAUCACACUAGUAAAUUUCUCUUUGACAUCCAGCAAGGCCCCUCCUUCAGAGCCAAAACUACUUCCGCAACCAUUGCACAACCUGCUUCAACUGAUUUGACUACACCAGCCACUACCUGCCCUUUUUCAUCUCUAGCUAUAACUCCAGCAGUUUGCCUUACAGGUUGAACCCUCGAAAACACCAUCACAAUUAACUUGUAUCCAUUCUUGCUCAAGAAGAUACCAUUUAUCCCCAAGACAACUUUUAUUGUCUUUAGAAAACUUAGUAUUAGACACAACUGAUUGAAUAAAACCUUCUAGUAGAAACUUGUAUAGAGAACAGCAGGUCGGGGUCUAAAAGGGAGAAGGCUUAAGAAGACAGAUGAUGCGCACCGUUUCAAUAAAUGCCUUCCACAAACAGCAACAAAGUGCACCGUUUCAUUAAUAGAAUUUUAAAGUUUAAAAGUUAGUUAAAGUUUAAUUAUUAGUUAGAUUAGUUACAGUUAUUCUUUAUCUUUCCUCUGGUCAACAGAGACCCUGUAUAUAAAUAUAAUUAUAAAGUAACUUUUCUAUAAUGAGAAUUUCUUCAUAUUCUCUCAUUCCCAUGCGCCGCCUUUUCCUCUCUUUCUCUCUCGGUAUUCGUCAUGGUAUCAGAGCAGGUACAGAGUCCUAAGAGUGAUUGUUUUCUUUUGAUCACCAGACGACUCGUUCUUAUCAUUUUCUGGUUAUACCUUUUCCUUCUCAGUAAGUUUAUCUUCCUAUUACUGAUUUCUGGAUUACACUGUUCUUUCAUCUGGUGCUUGAUUAACCAUGUCUGAUGAAUCUGAAUCAACUCAAUCAAGGUCUCAGACCUCAUCACAAAUUUCACCUAUUGGAGACCCGCAGUCUCCAUAUUAUCUUCACCAUUCAGAUCACCCUCAUUCAGUCAUUAUCAAUCCCAAACGUACCACCAACAACUAUGUGGCAUGGAGUAGAUCUUUCUUAUUGGCCUUUUCGAUCAGGAACAAGACUGGUUUCAUCAAUGGGUCUAUUCCUAAACCAGCCACCACAGACCCUCUGUAUCCUGUUUGGACACGUUGUAACAACCUAAUAGUUGUCUAGCUCUUAGACUCAGUUUCACCCCCAAUAGCCUUUACCAUAUUCUACAUGGAUUCUACAAUGAAGAUGUGGAAUACCUUGAAACUUAACUAUGCUCAACUAGAUGACACAAGGCUGUGUAAUCUGCAGUAUACCUUGGGGAAUAUUACCCAAGGAACAAGAUCAGUGGACUCAUACUUCAUUGAGUUGAAGGCGGUUCGGGAAGAGAUAAGGAGUUAUCGUCCCCUGCCACAUUGUGAAUGUGGAAGAUGCAAUGCAGACUGUUUUAAAAAGGUAUAUUGAUCAAUAUCACAAAGACAUGGUGUUUAGGUUUCUCAACGGACUGAAUGAAUCCUUCUCAGCAAUACGAUCUCAGAUCAUACUCAUAGACCCAAUUCCAACCCUUGAUAGAGUUUAUAAUUUUAUGUUGAGAGACGAAACACAGAAAAACUUAUUAUUUCAAUCACAGCCUGUUUUUGAGUCCUCUACAAUGCUCACCACAACAGAUUCAAAGAAGAAACUGAAAAAGGAUCUUGUCUGCAGCCACUGUGGGAAGAAAGGGCACAACAAAGAAAAAUGUUACAAACUUAUAGGCUUUCCAGAUGAUUUUAAAUUUACAAAGGGAAAGGCCAAUAUCAAAAAGGGUAAAACAGCAGUCAACAAUGUUACAGCAUCUAAUGAAAUCUCAGUUGAUGAAUUCCAAGCAGAGUAAGAAGAAGAACUCAGUGGUUCAAGCAACAUAUCCCAAAUGUCUAUCCUAACACAACAAGUCAACAAGCUUAUGGAAAUUCUCAAUGAAAAUGGUUUAAUUAGUAGUGAUGGUAAGGGCAUUUCCUCGAACAGCCAACAGGGAAAACAAUCAUUGGUAAACUUAGCUUUCUUAGGUAUCAUUUCAGGCCAUCAUUGUUUCAAUACCACUAACAACAUGCCUUCUAGCUUUAGAAAUACAAAUAUCUACAUGAUAAAACAAAAUUACUGGAUAGUAGACUCAGGUGCAACUGAUCAUAUCUCACAUUCCUUAGAUGACUCUAUCUAUGCAAAACCAGUUAAGGAUUGUUUUGUCCAUCUCCCAACCAACAAAAGGGCAGUUGUUAGUCAUAUAGGUGCAGUUAAAUUGACCUCAUCAUUCAUUCUAAAGAACUUGUUGUGUGUUCCGAGCUUCAAAUUCAACUUAAUUUCUGUGAGUCAGUUGACCAAUUCAAAAAGGAUCAAUGUUCUUUUCACUGACAUGUACUGUAUUGUCCAAGAUAUUCCCUCAUGGAAAGUGAUUGGGGUUACUAAGGGCUCAUCAGGAUUAUACCUCAUGGAGUUUAAGAAAGGAGUUCAAGAUUUAUCAAAUUACUGUUUUGACAGAAUUGUUAAGUUUCCUGUUAUUUCUUUUGUUAGUAACUAGAAUGCAGUGAAUAGAACCUUUGAUUUAUGGCAUUUCAGACUUGGUCAUGCUCCUAUAGAAAGGAUCAAUGUAAUCCACCAGCAAUUUCUAAGUGUUAAAAGUUCAAAUGAAUUAUUCUGUGAAGUCUGCCUAUUGGCAAAACAAAGAAAGCUUCCCUUUCCAAUUCACUCUCAAAGCACAAAAACUUUUUUUAAACUAAUUCAUGUGGACAUUUGAGGUCCAUAUGAGACUCCCACUUUAAAUGGUCAUCGUUUCUUUCUUACCAUUGUAAAUGAUUUUUCUCGUUUUACUUGGAUUUUCUAAUGAGGAAUAAGUCAGAAGUUUCAACAAUUAUACCUUCUUUUAAUGCUAUGGUUCAAAAGGCAAUUUAAUCUUGAAAUCAAGUGUUUAAGGUCAGAUAAUGGCCAAGAAUUUAAACUUACAGAUUUCUUUGCCAAAACAGGUAUAAUCCACCAUUUGUCAUGUGUUGUUACCCCUCAACAAAAUGGAAUUGUUGAGAGGAAACAUCAACACAUCCUAAUGGUUGCAAGAGCCCUGAAGCAUCAGUCUAAGGUUCCAGUACACUUCUGGGGGGAUGCAGUGCUCACUGCAGUACAUAUUAUCAAUAGGGUACCUACUAAAAUUUCAAGAAUAAGUCACCAAAUGAGCUGUUUUAUCUUAAACCACCAACAUAUGAUCAUUUUAAGGUUUUUGGAUGCCUGUGUUUUGUAUCCACACUGGCACAGAAUAGGAAAAAGUUAGAUAAAAGAGCUACCAAAUGUAUAUUCCUAGGAUAUCCUAAUGGCAUCAAAGGGUAUAGGGUAUAUGAUCUUUGUGCACAAAAGACUCUAAUAUCCAGAAAUGUUGUUUUUCAUGAGGAUAUUUUUCCUUUUCAUUCAUCACAACAUGAUACAUCUCAUCGUGCAUUUGAUCAAAAACUUGGUGUACAUGCUGAUUAUUUUGACUAUUUUGAUUCUAAUUCAUCUCAUUAUCCUCAUCCAGUCCAAGAGCCAAUAGAAACACAUUUGUUUGAAACUAUAUCAGAGAUACCAGAAACUUCCACUUCUAAUGUAGAUGAAUUACGUAUUAAUUCAUUACCUGACAGUGAACCUGCAGCCAGCAAUAUCAAUUCACUUGAGCCUGACACAACAAUUGACACAGCACAACCAAUUAGAAAGAGUGCCAGACUUAAACAUACUCCCAAAUACUUGGAAGAAUAUUAUACAAACGUACCAUCUCAUUCAAAUACAGCCACUGCACAUCCAAUUACCAAAUACUUAUCUUGUGACAAACUAUCACCUGCACAGAGAAUCUUUACUGCUUCAUUGUCAUCUGUUCAUGAGCCAAGCUCUUACCAUCAAGCUAUUAAUUAUCCUCAUUGGAGAGAUGCUAUGGCUGUUAAGUUGAAGGCCUUGGAAGACAAUGGUACUUGGAGCAUUGUUCCACUGCCUUCUAAUUGUCAUGCUGUGGGUUGUAAAUGGAUAUACAAGGUGAAAGUAAAUGCUGCAAGGGAAGUUAAAAGGUACAAAGCACAACUGAUGGCAAAAGGGUUCAGUCAAAUUGUGGGCUUUGAUUAUCAAGAGACUUUUAGUCUUGUAGCAAAACAGACAAUAGUAAAGGUUUUCUUUGCCUUAGCUACUGUAAACAAUUGGCACCUAUCACAACUUGAUAUCAACAAUGCUUUUCUAAAUAGGGAACUAGAAGAGGAAGUUUACAUGGAACUACCACAAGGGUAUUCUGUCUAGAGGGAAUAUCAAACAAGUCCAAAAUUAGUCUGCAAGCUUCAUAAGUCCAUAUAUGGACUCAAACAAGCAUCUAGACAAUGGAAUGCUAAACUUACUGCUUCUAUCCUACAGUUUGGUUUCACACAAUCAACAUCAGACUAUUCAUUAUUUACAAUGAAAACAAACAGUGGGGACUUUGUGGCAAUUUUAGUCUAUGCUGAUGAUAUUUUGAUAGGGAGUAACUCAGCUCAGAUAGCAUCUAAUGUCAAAGGAUUUUUUAGUUCACAAUUUAAACUCAAAGAUCUUGGUAAAGUUAAAUUUUUCUUGGGGCUUGAAAUUGCUCAAUCUCCAGAAGGCAUAUCCAUAUGCCAAAGAAAAUACAUCCUGGACCUUUUAGAAGAGCAUGGCCUGCUUGGAUCAAAACCUGUAAGUACUCCCAUUGACUAUAAUUAUAAAUUGAGCAAGACCAAAGAUGGGCAAGAAUUGCAUGAUGCUACCAAAUACAAGCAACUGGUUGGUAAAUUGUUGUAUUUAACCUUUACUAGACCGGACAUCUCCUAUGCAGUGCAAGUUUUGUCCCAGUUCAUGGACAAACCUAGCAAUGAACAUUUCAUGGCAGCUUACAGAGUCAUAAGAUAUCUUAAAAGGGCACUAAGCCAAGGCAUUCUAAUGAAGUCAAAGUCUAACAUGAAAAUUUCAGCCUACUCUGACAGUGAUUGGGCAGGAUGCCCUGACUUGCGAAAAUCAAUCACAGGCUUUAGUCUUUUCAUUGGUGAUUCUCUUGUAAGUUGGAAAUCAAAUAAGCAAACUGUAGUGGCUAGAAGUUCAGUAGAAGCAGAAUACAGGUCUAUGGCUUCUACCUGUUGUGAAAUUAUUUGGUUGCAAUACCUUUUGGCAAAUUUUAGAAUCUCUCACAAGGAAGCAAUAAGUCUCUUCUUUGACAGUCAAUCUGCAAUAUACAUUAGUAAGAAUCCAGUAUUUCACGAGAGGACAACGCACAUAGGAAUGGAUUGCCACUUCCUCCGUGAAAAGGUGUUGGCUGGGAUAAUAAAGCCCAUACAUAUUUCAACUCAAUCACAGAUAGCAAAUAUCUUCACCAAAGCCCUGUAGCCAAGACAGUUCUACAAGUUGUAGGGCAAGAUGAGUGUUCAUAAUAUUCACUCCUCCUCUUGAGAGGGAGUAUUAGACACAACUGAUUGAAUAAAACUUGCUAGUAGAAACUUGUACAGAGAACAACAGGUCGGGUUUGAAGGGGAGAAGGCUUAAGAAGACAGAUAAUGCGCACCGUUUCAAAAAAUGCCUUCCACAAACAGCAACAAAG